GAACGGAGUCAAUUAUACUUCCACUCAUCUCCCAUGCAGACAAUUCAGAAUGAAUGAGAAGGACAUGCAAAUGAGAAAAAAAAAGAGAGACAUUAUCAAACACUGUGAAUAGGAAGACCAACAAAGAUCAUUUAGGAAGUGUAAAAAGCCCAAGACUGAAGCCAGGAAAAAUGAAUUCUGGUCCUGGUUCUGCUGCUAUGUGAUAUUGGACCAUCCGUUUUCUGAUGGAAACCUGGCUCAUUUGCUUUGGGGGUUGGUCCUCUGAUAUCCAAGCAGGGACUUUGAUUUUCUUGUGAGCACUCAGAGGCUGUCAGGCUCAGGGAAACCUACAUACGUGGUCCACACUGAAAUGAGGGUCUAAAGCCUUGAUGUAAGCACGAAAGCGCGCGGGCAGCAUGCAGCCCUACAAGCAGGCAUUGAUCCUCAAUGGGUCAAUGGGUUAAGGUUUAUCCAGCCCCAGGAGGGCCCAGGUCCCCGCUGGACCAGAGAAACCCCUUUAGGCUUGUGUAUUAGCCCUUUUUCACACUGCUGAUAAAAACACACCAGAGACUGGGCAAUUUACACGAGAAAGACAUUGAAUGGACUUACAGUUCAAUGUGGCUAGGGAGGCCUCACAAUCAUGGUGGAAGGCGAAAGGCACUUCUUACAUGGCGGCAGCGAGAGAGUAGAUGAGGAAGAAACGAAAGCGGAAACCCCUUAUAAAACCAUCAGAUCUCAUGAGACUUAUUCACCACUGUGAGAAUGGUAUGGG